rnacentral:rRNA from 1 species
GACAGAGGUCCCAAGCGUGGUCCGGAUUUAUUGGGCGUAAAGAGCGUGUAGGCGGCCAUACAGGUCAGCUGUGAAAACUCGAGGCUCAACCUCGAGACGUCGGUUGAAACCGUAUGGCUAGAGUCCGGAAGAGGAGAGUGGAAUUCCCGGUGUAGCGGUGAAAUGCGCAGAUAUCGGGAAGAACACCCGUGGCGAAGGCGGCUCUCUGGGACGGUACUGACGCUGAGACGCGAAAGCGUGGGGAGCGAACAGG